GUGCUCACUUCGGCAGCACAUACACUAAAAUUGGAAUGAUACAGAGAAAAUUAGCAUGGCCCCUGCUCAAGGAUGUCACACAAAUUCGUGAAGCAUUCCGUAUUUUU
rnacentral:snRNA from 1 species